rnacentral:lncRNA from 1 species
GUUGGCGUCGUCGUCGUCGUCGUCGUCGUCGUCCGAAUACUUUUAGUUUUCGCACUCUAACUUUAGUAAAAGUGAAUUGAAAUCUAUGAAAUUUUAACACAAGGUUUAUGACCACAAAAGGAAGGUUGGUAUUGAUUUUGGGAGUUUUGGUCCCAACAUUUUAGGAAUUAGGGGCUAAAAAGGGCCCAAAUAAGCAUUUUCUUGGUUUUCGCACUAUAACUUUAGUUUAAGUUAAUAGAAAUCUAUGAAAUUUUGACACAAGGUUUAUGACCACAAAAGAACGGUUGGGAUUGAUUUUGGGAGUUUUGGUUUCAACAGUUUAGGAAUUAGGGGCCAAAAAAGGGCCCAAAUAAGCAUUAUUCUUGGUUUUCGCACAAUAACUUUAGUUUAAGUAAAUAGAAAUCAAUGACAUUUAAACACAAUGUUAAUGACUACAAAAGAAGGUUGGUAUUGAUUUUGGGAGUUUAGUCCCAACAGUUUAGGAGUUAGGGGCCAAAAAGGUACCCAAAUAAGCAUUUUUUUUGGUUUUCGCACCAUAACGUUAGUAUAAGUAAAUAGAAAUCUAUGAAAUUUAAACACAAGGUUUAUGACCAUAAAAGGAAGG